GAUUAAGAACGUAGCGAAAUGCGAUACUUGGUGUGAAUUGCAGAAUCCCGUGAACCAUCGAGUCUUUGAACGCAAGUUGCGCCUCAAGCCAUUAGGUUGAGGGCACGUCUGCCUGGGCGUCACAUAUCGUUGCCUGAUGCCAGUUUCCUCGUGAUGGGUGACUGUGCAGGGCGAAUGAUGGCUUCCCGUGAGCAUUGUUGCCUCAUGGUUGGUUGAAAAUUGAGUCCUUGGUAGGGAGCGCCGUGAUAGAUGGUGGUUGAGUGACGAACGAGACCCAAUCAUGUGAGACCCCUACCGAAUUUGGCCUUCAUGACCCACAUGCGUCUUUGGAACGCUCAUGACGAGACCUCAGGUCAGGCGGGGCUACCCGCUGAGUUUAAGCAUAUCAAUAAGCGGAGGA
rnacentral:misc_RNA from 1 species